CCAGUGGGGGAGCUUCAGCCCCAACCAAGCCUCUCUCUAGCACAGGAUUCACUGGUCAUAGAGAGGAGACCUCCAACUGUCUAGGAAGGACAGUUUAUCUUCUCGUCAUAGUCAGCAUCUCUAUGGUUUCGUUUCCGGGUGCGGGGGAAGGAGAAGGGAACGGUACAGUACGGUGGCUGAGGCGGUUCACGCCCUGCCGAAGGCGAAAGGCGGCGGUGGCGGGGCUCAGCAUGGCGGCGCACCUGAAGAAGCGGGUGUAUGAGGAGUUCACUAAGGUCGUCCAGCAGCAGCAUGAAGAGAUCUCCGCCAAGAAGCUGCGGCUGACCAAGCCCAGUAAAUCGGCAGCGCUCCACGUAGAUCUGUGUAAGGCCACUUCGCCGGCAGAUGCCCUGCAGUAUCUGCUUCAGUUUGCCAGGAAACCGGUGGAGGCGGAAAGCGUGGAAGGAGUUGUCAGGAUCUUGCUGGAGCAUUAUUACAAGGAGAACGAUGCCUCCGUGAGAUUGAAGAUUGCUUCCUUGCUAGGUUUGUUAUCGAAGACGGCAGGAUUUUCUCCAGACUGCAUUAUGGAUGAUGUCAUUAACACUCUUCAAAAUGAGAAGUCCCACCAAGUUCUUGCUCAGCUGCUGGAUACUCUGUUGCUGAUUGGGACAAAACUCGCAGAGAACCCAGCUGUCAGAAUGAGACUGCUAGAUGUAGCCUGCAAGUAUCUGACGGACUCAUCCCAUGGUGUCAGAAACAAGUGCCUCCAGCUGAUUGGCUAUCUUGGAUCUGUGGAAAAAGGGGCCACAAAAGAAGCUGAAAGCCUGGCUGCCAAAGAUGUCCAGAAGAUAAUAGGGGACCACUUUAAUGACCAGGACCCUCGUGUUAGGACUGCAGCUAUAAAAGCUAUGCUGCAGCUACAUGAAAGAGGAUUAAAAUUGCAGCAGACUAUUUACAGUCAGGCUUGCAAACUGCUCUCAGAUGAUUAUGAACAGGUACGCAGCGCUGCAGUUCAGUUGAUCUGGGUCCUCAGUCAGCUGUAUCCUGAGAGCAUUGUACCAAUCCCUUCUUCCAAUGAAGAAAUUCGCUUAGUUGAUGAUGCAUUUGGAAAAAUAUGUCACAUGGUCAGUGAUGGCUCAUGGGUUGUUAGAGUGCAAGCUGCUAAACUGUUGGGAUCUAUGCAGCAAGUUAGUUCCCAUUUCUUGGAGCAGACACUUGACAAGAAGCUGAUGUCAGAUUUGAGGCGGAAGCGCACUGCGCAUGAACGAGCCAAAGAGCUUUACAGCUCUGGGGAGUUUUCAAGCGGCAGAAAAUGGGGAGAUGAUGCACCCAAAGAAGAAAUAGACACAGGCGCUGUGAACUUGAUUGAAUCGGGAGCUUGUGGGGCUUUUGUUCAUGGCCUGGAAGAUGAAAUGUAUGAGGUUCGGAUUGCUGCAGUUGAGGCCCUCUGUAUGCUGGCUCAGUCUUCACAGUCUUUUGCAGAGAAGUGUCUUGAUUUUCUAGUAGACAUGUUUAAUGAUGAGAUCGAAGAGGUAAGAUUGCAGUCGAUACACACAAUGAGAAAAAUCUCCAACAACAUAACACUGCGAGAGGACCAGCUCGAUACCGUGCUAGCUGUCUUGGAGGAUUCCUCCCGAGACAUUCGGGAAGCACUUCAUGAACUACUGUGCUGCACAAAUGUCUCGACUAAAGAAGGCAUUCAUCUUGCAUUGGUAGAGCUGCUGAAAAACCUAACCAAAUAUCCUACUGACAGAGAGUCCAUAUGGAAGUGCUUAAAGUUCCUGGGAUGCAGGCAUCCUACUCUGGUGCUUCCACUGGUCCCAGAGCUGCUGAGUACACAUCCGUUUUUUGACACCCCAGAACCUGACAUGGAUGACCCAGCCUAUAUUGCUGUUCUGGUUCUCAUUUUUAAUGCUGCUAAAACUUGCCCAACAAUGCCAGCGCUGUUCUCGGAUCAUACUUUCAGACACUACGCCUAUCUUCGUGACAGUCUCUCUCAUCUUGUCCCUCCAUUGAGAUUGCCAGGUAGAAAACUAGUAUCCUCCCCUGUUUCCCCCAGUGUUACCCCCCAUGAAGAUCCUUCCCAGCAGUUCCUGCAGCAGAGUCUUGAGAGAGUUUACAGUCUUCAGCACCUAGACCCACAGAGCACCCAGGAGCUGCUUGAAUUCACCAUUCGUGACCUUCAGAGGCUUGGAGAACUUCAGUCAGAACUGGCAGGGGUGGCAGAUUUCUCCGCAACUUACCUUCGAUGUCAGCUGCUCCUCAUCAAGGCCCUCCAGGAAAAACUGUGGAACGUGGCAGCUCCUCUCUACCUGAAACAGAAUGCUUUGGCAUCAGCUGCUGCAAAACAGAUUAUGGAAGAAACUUACAAAAUGGAAUUUAUGUACAGUGGAGUGGAAAAUAGACAAGUGGUUAUUAUUCACCACAUGAGGCUGCAAGCCAAAGCGUUACAACUUAUAGUGACUGCACGUACUACUAGAGGAGUGGAACCGCUUUUUGGAAUGUGUGAAAAUUUUUUACAGGAGGUGGAUUCUUUUCAGAGAUGUUUUAUUUCUGAACUGCCCCAUAUGCAAGACAGUUUUGUGGAUAAGCUGCUGGACUUAAUGCCCAGACUUGUGACCUCCAAGCCUUCAGAAGCGGUGAAGAUCCUGCAAACAACGCUACGACAGAGCGCCUUCCUUCACCUUCCUCUUCCAGAGCAGAUCCACAGAGCUACUGCAACUAUUAUUGAACCUGCUGGCGAGUCUGAUAACCCUUUGAGGUUUACAUCAGGACUCGUGGUGGCAUUGGAUGUCGAUGCAACUCUGGAACAUGUGCAGGACCCUCAGAGCACAGUUAAAGUUCAGGUAUUAUAUCCAGAUGGACAGACACAGUUAAUCCACCCUAAACCAGCUGACUUUCGAAAUCCUGGUCCUGGAAGACACAGAUUGAUAACUCAGGUUUACCUUUCUCAUACUGCCUGGACAGAGCCAUGUCAAAUUGAAGUGAGGUUACUACUGGCAUACAACUCCAGUAGGAGCAAAGCUUCCACUAGACUCUCAAAAUCCACCUGGAUUGACACCAUGGAGUCUCUUCCACCGUUUGAAUAUGGCAUUGAGGGAACCAUACCAUUCAGCAAACCUGUCAAAGUGUAUAUAAUGCCAAAACCUGCCAGACGGGCCCUGGUUUGAAAACAGCCUGCAUCUGUAGCAACAGAGUUACCAGCUAACUGCUGUGUGGCGGCCUAAGUUCAGUUCCCAGCGGACAGGGUUUGAUCUCUGAGAUAUGUAGGCUUUCAUCCUGGGAUAUGCUGGAGACAGUUCAGACUUUUCCAUGAAACAUUGGGACUUGGCCAUACCACUUCUGGGAUCAUGGCAGAUGUGCUUUCAGUUCUUCAGCACUCCCACCUUAUUUGUGAAUCUUUCAGCUUGGGGACCCCGAGCCAGACAAGGAGAAGGUUUUCCUGCAUAUGUUUGAAGCAGUGUAGAUGAAUGUAGUGGCCACCAUGGAGAGCCAGCCAGAGAGAGGCUGCACAGCCUAAAGCCAAGGGCAGAUAACCUCUUGAAAACUAAAACAGGCUAUCCCCCUUCACAGAGGUCACUAGGGAAGCGCGUGCAGCAGCUGACAAAGGGAAAAAGAUGAACUGACAAGCUGUGAGAUUCUACAGGUUCCUGGUAAUUCAUUCUGAUCCUUCCCAGGUUUGAUGCAGCAAUGGCAUUUCUUGUAAGACACACCAAUCUGUUGGGAGGGGUGGUGUCUUCCCCAAAGACCCCACAGAGAGGAAUAUUUUAGAAGCCCUUAAAAGAUCUUCAGCAACCCUUAAAACUUCCCUGGCAACCAUAUGUUUUUCUAGAGCCAGGAUGUCCUGAUGUAACUGCUUCUCAAGCCUGGCUUUCAAACCAUGAUGAAUUCAAGCCAAUACUGAAGAAAAUACUCCUGUGUUUGUGCCAGAUGGAUCUGGGGGCUCCAUGAGAGUGGCAGCUAACAAAUCUUCUUUCAUUUUGCCUGAAUAUAAACUCAAAAGUAAGGAAAGAUUAAACCGUAGGUGCUUGGCUGGCCUGAGAUAGUCUAGUGUUAAAACUCUCCUUUUUCUCUUGGUCGAGGAGCCUUCACAGGGUACAGUGAUGCAGAGGAGAGAAAGGGUUAUGCAGAGAGAGAGAGAGAGAGAGUGUGUGUGUGUGUGUGUGUGUGUUGCCCUGCCUCUCCCUGCUGCUUGAUUCUACACCUUGCCUCACGAAGAUAAGUAAUGUGUAGGCUGAGCAGCUCAUGGAGUCUUGCUGGCACUAAGCCCAGAAGCAGCUCUGUGCAAAAGAAUUUUCUGGGGUGGGUGUUCACAGCUUGCUGGGAGGCAGACUCUCUUGCUAGCUGUGGUAGAGAGGAGGUGGGAGGGAGAGGAGAAGCCCUGUAUGUGGUUGAGAGCUGUGCCCUGAGUGUUCAUACCUGUAAUAUGGUAUUUGAGGUGUUUUGUUUUUGAAAUAUAGCCUGUUUUUUGGGACAGAAAUUGCAAUUUAACAGAUCUGCCCAUGUGGGAUGUUUAAGGAGGCGUGGCCUAAUUAAUGCUUCAUCAAGAGCUCCAAAAUUGCCCUGUUCUCUGUGCUUCCCUGGAGCUCUGGUAUUGGCUGCUGUCUGAGACAAGAUACAAGGGGCCUGCUGAACCAUUAGUCUGACCCAAUGGCAGUUCUUAUGUUCGUAGUUUGCUGGUUGGUUGACACAAUGGAUAUGUCUACACUGCAGCUGCAAGCAAUUCUCUCGGGCUGGGUAGAGAGAAAUUUGUGUUGGCUGUGCUCAUGCUAAUGUGCUGAAAAUAGAACUGUAGCCAUUGUGGCUUGGGUGGCAGCUCAGGCUGGCCACUAGGAGAUUGGAUGGGUUUCAGUGCCUACCCCUCAACAGCCACACAGCUAUUGUUAGCAUGUUAGCUCAAGCCCAGGUAGUUCGUCUGUUUACUGGGGCUGGGAGGCCCACUCCCAGCUGCAGCAUAGACAUACCAAUGGGGCCUGAUCCAGUGACAAUUCAGCCAGGUGUUGGCUGGCCUGUGUGUAAGGGAUGGUAGGGAAGUCACAGAUUCCGUGAGUUUGAGACCUGUGCCUUUUGCUUCAGCUGUUAGUGACUGGCCAGAGCUGGGGCUGCGUCCCUCCCUCAUCCACAGCUUUGGCUGGAACCAGGGCAGGAGCUGUAUGCCCCCCUUCUCCCCAGGGCUUCAGCUGGGGCUGUGAGACCCCUGCUGCGGCCAAGCUGGAGCCAUGUACCCGUGGCUUUGGCAGGGUCUGGAGCCCGGGCUGUGUCCCACCCCAGUGGCAGAGGGGCUGUGGCUGUGGCUGUCAGGCCCUCUGAUGGGGAUCCAGGUGUCAUUCUCUCCUACCUCCCGCCCCCAGCCUUCUCUUCCCCCUGUUAUUUUUAAUAAAAGUCACUGGCAGGUCGGCGCUCCCGGUGAAUUUUUGUUUAUUGCCCACUACCUGUCCGUGACAUUUCCUAAAAAUAACUGUGACAAAAUCUUAACCUUACCUAUGAGGCUAUGGAAGCUACUGAGGCAGAAGUCGGCUCAUUAGUGACUAGCAUUCCACAUAAUUACUUUUUGUGGGGCUGAAGGGAACAGCCAUCCACGCUGAUUCACAUCACAACUGGAUGACUUAUGCUAAUACAGGAAUUUGGUCAUAAUGGCAGGGGAUGCAGUCUAACUGUAUAUAGGAAAUCUACCUCCCUUUCCUCGCCACCAGCUUCAAAGGGAUGGAAGUUACUCCAAGAAGAAACUUAAAAUGGCUGCAGCAUAAAGGUACAGUACAGGAAGGCAUCUGACGGAAGUCAAUCAGGCACAAGUAAAAGGAGCUAACUGCCCCAGAGACCAUAAUGGGAAUGGAGCACACUGAAGCAGUUUGACGAGCCGGUAAUGUGCUACCCCCUUAAAUAAACCAGGCUGGCUCUCAUUUAGCCUCAGUUCUACAAAUAUGGCUCCAGCCUGAAACUGGAUUAAAUAUCAUUUUGCUAUGUGAAUGGGAAGAUUGAAAGAAAAUCAGUGUAGGAGCUGAGUUGCUGAUAUGCAUCACUUCUAUGCACAUUAUGGGCACCACCAGAUGUAGCUCAGAUUGUUUGGUGGUGGGGCUUCUGCCAAGUAACUACUACUUGAGGCUUUCUGAAGCUUUGGCAGCUCAGGAGAUUACACAUCAUGAUGGCUGGAUUUGGGUAGGGGCCAUAUCCCGCUCCAAGUGCUAAAGUACAGCCUUGCAUUAACAGUUUUUCAUAUUUGUACAGAGUCUUUGGAGAGAAGAGCUUGUUCUUUUGACUUCUGUCAGAGAGCUAAAGCCUUUAGGUCAGUGCUUUCUUUUAUCGCUCACCACACCAACUCUUCAGAAUUAUAGCAUUUAUAUUGAGAAUAAUCCACCUACUAGUUAUACCGGCUGCCAUCUCAAUGAAUGCAAAGACACCCAGAAAAAAGCUCCUGCUGUUUUAGAUGAGCUACUGCCUCAACAUAGCCCUAGUGUUGAAGGAUAUUGCAAUUAAGAGAGAUGAAAAUGAAGUUUGUGUUUUACAAACACUAGUUCUUCCUCUUAUUUGCACUAUGAAAUCAUUUACAUUUAAUACAAAAUGGAGAAAAGCAAACGUUAAAGGAAAAGGAAUUCUUUCCAAAAAUUGGAACCAGGCAGAGUUGUUUCAACAUGACUGUACAGCACUUAGCACAGUAGGACCCUUCUGAUGGCCUCUGUGCCUUACUGUAAUACAUAUAAGACGAAGAUUUAAGUAACAGCUAGCAGUCCCUGUUGAAUGAAACCUAUCUUAGAGAUAAUUUAUAACUGAGUAUAUGCUACAGUAAGUCCAGCACAAGAUAAAAGAGAGAGACAGGAACCAUUCAAUUAGGUUUAAAAGCUGUAGCUUUUAUUAAACAUCUACAUGUGUUUUAAUGUUCAAUUGAUCGUCAGCACCUGAUCUAAAAAUUCCAACCACCAUUCCCCAGCUAGUUAGCAAUGAUCGGCCAGUCUAAUAUGCUGCACACUAGCUUGCACUUCAAUUAACUAUAAAACCAGAGUUUG